rnacentral:ribozyme from 13 species
AAAAAAAAAAAAAAAAAAAAAGAAAACAUGAGAUGAUGUUUGAGGAAUGGUCUUUAAGGUCGCAACAAUAUAUCUUUCUCAGUCAUUUUUAGAGCUUAUUUCAUUUUUUUUUCCUCC